rnacentral:rRNA from 1 species
GAUGAACGCUGGCGGCGUGCCUAAUACAUGCAAGUCGAGCGAACGGACGAGAAGCUUGCUUCUCUGAUGUUAGCGGCGGACGGGUGAGUAACACGUGGAUAACCUACCUAUAAGACUGGGAUAACUUCGGGAAACCGGAGCUAAUACCGGAUGAUAUUUUGAACCGCAUGGUUCAAAAGUGAAAGACGGUCUUGCUGUCACUUAUAGAUGGAUCCGCGCUGCAUUAGCUAGUUGGUAAGGUAACGGCUUACCAAGGCAACGAUGCAUAGCCGACCUGAGAGGGUGAUCGGCCACACUGGAACUGAGACACGGUCCAGACUCCUACGGGAGGCAGCAGUAGGGAAUCUUACGCAAUGGGCGAAAGCCUGACGGAGCAACGCCGCGUGAGUGAUGAAGGUCUUCGGAUCGUAAAACUCUGUUAUUAGGGAAGAACAGAUGUGUAAGUAACUGUGCACAUCUUGACGGUACCUAAUCAGAAAGCCACGGCUAACUACGUG